UACGUAGGGUGCGAGCGUUGUCCGGAAUUACUGGGCGUAAAGGGCGCGCAGGCGGCUGCUCAAGUCAGGCGUGAAAGGCCUGGGCUCAACCCGGGAAUUGCGCUUGAGACUGGGCUGGCUUGAGUGCGGGAGAGGAUGGUGGAACUCUCGGUGUAGAGGUGAAAUUCGUAGAUAUCGAGAAGAACACCGGUGGCGAAGGCGGCAUCCUGGACCGGCAUUGACGCUGAGGAGCGAAAGCCAAGGGAGCAAACGGG
rnacentral:rRNA from 1 species